rnacentral:rRNA from 1 species
CCUACGGGAGUCAGCAGUGAGGAAUAUUGGUCAAUGGACGAGAGUCUGAACCAGCCAAGUAGCGUGAAGGAUGACUGCCCUAUGGGUUGUAAACUUCUUUUAUAUGGGAAUAAAUUGUUCUACGUGUGGAAUUUUGUAAGUAUCAUAUGAAGAAGGAUCGGCUAACUCCGUGCCAGCAGCCGCGGUAAUACGGAGGAUCCGAGCGUUAUCCGGAUUUAUUGGGCUUAAAGGGAGCGUAGGGGGAUGGUUAAGUCAGUUGUGAAAGUUUGCGGCUCAACCGUAAAAUUACAGUUGAAACUGGAAGUCUUGAGUACAGUAGAGGUGGGCGGAAUUCGUGGUGUAGCGGUGAAAUGCUUAGAUAUCACGAAGAACUCCGAUUGCGAAGGCAGCUCACUGGACUGCAACUGACACUGAGGCUCGAAAGUGUGGGUAUCAAACAGGAUUAGAUACCCCAGUAGUC